CCUACGGGGGGCAGCAGUGGGGAAUAUUGGACAAUGGGCGCAAGCCUGAUCCAGCAACGCCGCGUGGAGGAUGAAGGUCUUCGGAUCGUAAACUCCUGUCAGACGGGACGAAGGUAGCGGGGCAAAUAGUCUCGCUGCUUGACGGUACCGUCAGAGGAAGCCCCGGCUAACUCCGUGCCAGCAGCCGCGGUAAUACGGAGGGGGCAAGCGUUAUUCGGAAUUAUUGGGCGUAAAGGGCGCGUAGGCGGCUAGAUGUGUCAAAGGUGAAAUCCCUCGGCUCAACUGAGGAACUGCCUUUGAAACUGUCUGGCUUGAGGCCGGGAGAGGGUAGCGGAAUUCCCAGUGUAGCGGUGAAAUGCGUAGAUAUUGGGAGGAACACCAGUGGCGAAGGCGGCUACCUGGACCGGUUCUGACGCUGAGGCGCGAAAGCGUGGGUAGCA
rnacentral:rRNA from 1 species